CAUUUGAAUACAUAGACCCCAACGUCGAACACUAAGCAAAUUCACAUUAUGAUUCUGUUACUUAAAUGAUAAAUUAUAACGAUAAAGGAAUGUAAAUUAUAUUUUAUUGUGUAUUAUAAUUAUGAAAAUUACUAUAAAUACUCUCAUAUUUACAGAAUCAGGAGAAAACAAUUCAGUACAACCAUUAGUAGUUGCAACAGUCAGUGGUGGAAUAACCAUUGUUUUAGCAAUACUGCCUUUGAUUUUAUAUGCAAAAAG
rnacentral:lncRNA from 1 species